rnacentral:rRNA from 1 species
GACGAACGCUGGCGGCGUGCUUAACACAUGCAAGUCGAACGGUAAGGCCCUUCGGGGUACACGAGUGGCGAACGGGUGAGUAACACGUGGGUGAUCUGCCCUGCACUUCGGGAUAAGCCCGGGAAACUGGGUAUAAUACCGGAUAGGACUCCGGACUGCAUGGUCUGGGGUGGAAAGCUUUUGCGGGGUGGGAUGGGCCCGCGGCCUAUCAGCUUGUUGGUGGGGUGAUGGCCUACCAAGGCGACGACGGGUAGCCGGCCUGAGAGGGCGACCGGCCACACUGGGACUGAGACACGGCCCAGACUCCUACGGGAGGCAGCAGUGGGGAAUAUUGCACAAUGGGCGCAAGCCUGAUGCAGCGACGCCGCGUGAGGGAUGAAGGUCUUCGGAUUGUAAACCUCUUUCAGUAGGGACGAAGCGAAAGUGACGGUACCUAAAGAAGAAGCACCGGCUAACUACGUGCCAGCCGCCGCGGUAA